GAGAAAAGCUGCUUGGCUCCAUGGCUCAGGUGGCCAGGUGUGUGCUUCGGAGGAAAGCUGCUUGGCUCAGGUGGCUAGGUGUAUGCUACGGAGGAAAACUGCUUGGCUCAGGUGGCCAGGUGUGUGCUACGGAGGAAAGCUGCUUGGCUCAGGUGGCCAGGUGUAUGUUACGGAGGAAAGCUGCUUGGCUCAGGUGACCAGGUGUAUGUUACGGAGGAAAGCUGCUUGGCUCAGGUGACCAGGUGUAUGUUACGGAGGAAAGCUGCUUGGCUCAGGUGACCAGGUGUAUGUUACGGAGGAAAGCUGCUUGGCUCAGGUGACCAGGUGUGUGCUACGGAGGAAAGCUGCUUGGCUCAGGUGGCCAGGUGUGUGCUACGGAGGAAGAACUUUGCAGAUGUUUCUGAUUAAUAUACAAUGCCAUGCUGUUGGGUGGUUACAUUGAAAUAAAACACAGCGCUGACAAUAAAUGUAGACUGGAAAGUAUUAGCAUGUUAUGUCCUAUUGGGGAAACACAGCAAUGACAAUAAAUGUAGACUGGAAAGUAUUAGCAUGUUAUGUCCUAUUGGGGAAACACAGCAAUGACAAUAAAUGUAGACUGGAAAGUAUUAGCAUGUUAUGUC